GAGUUUGAUCCUGGCUCAGAAAGAACGUUGGCGGCGUGGAUUAGGCAUGCAAGUCGAGCGAGAAGUCUGUGAGUGAUCCUUCGGGUGAACGAUCAGACGGACAGCGGCAGACGGCGUAGGAAUACGUAGGUUACGUACCCCGAGGACCGGGACAGCCACGGGAAACUGUGGGUAAUACCGGAUAAUCUCUGCGGAGCAAAUGGUGUGAUUCCGCCUCGGGAGCGGCUUACGCGGUACUAGCUUGAUGGUGGGGUAACGGCCUACCAUGGCGAUGAUGCCUGGGGGGUGUGAGAGCAUGGCCCCCACGACCGGGACUGAGACACUGCCCGGACACCUACGGGUGGCUGCAGUCGAGAAUCUUCCGCAAUGGGCGCAAGCCCGACGGAGCGACGCCGCGUGCGGGACGAAGGCCCUUGGGUUGUAAA
rnacentral:rRNA from 1 species